rnacentral:lncRNA from 1 species
CCUUUAUUUAUAAUUUAUUUCGAUAAUGAAAUUUGAAAUUUGAAUUGUGUGUUGCUUUGUUACUCUCAAUAAAUCUUCCUUCUUUUUCUUUUUUCAUACAGGAAUUGGGUUUUGGUGUUUCACCGACGAGCUGACGCCAGAGAGAGAGAGGGAUGGGGUUGGUGUGGGUGCGAGUGGGGGGCUGAACAAGGGGUGCUGGGUUUGUUGGGCUGAGGAGGGGCUGGGAUUUUUUAAGGUAUUUUUUUAAAUUUGAUUAAAUUUUAUCAUUUUAUAUAAAUUUGUUUAGGAACUGAUUAGUUAGUGGGUGGGUCCCGAUUGCCCAUAUUGAGAAUGACCCCAAACGUUUUUUCAUGUUAGCUCAUUUCUAAAUUUGUAGAGUGAGGGAGUGACCGCAGUUUUGAUAUAUUGGUGUGUAUUUUUAUUGGAGCUGAUUUUGUUUGCCUAACCUUACCAACACUCAGGGUAGAGUCCUGGUAAAUAAUAUUGCAACUCUUGCGCUUUUAGAAAUUGUGUGUAUAGUUUUGAGAAAU